GAUUUCAUUUUAUAGUUUUUUGUUUUAUUUUUCUUUUUUUAAUAAAUUGUAUGAAGAAGGGUAAUGUUUUGCAAUAAAUUUUUAACUAUAAUUACCACAUAAAAACAUUCAAUCUUCUAUUUUUGCGAAGUUUCAAAAUUUCAUUAAAAAUCUUCUCUAUCUCACAUUGUUUAUUUCACCAUGUUACACUGGCAUCCAGAGUUGCACCGGAACUUACAACAAUUACACCAACAAUCUCAGAAUCCAGGAGAGAUGAUAUAAAGAGUGUAUACAUUGGGCCAUCUACGCUUGGAAUAUGCAUGGGCGCCAGAUACAAUAAUUGCCAUAAUCGUGACUAAAUUAUAUAUUAUAUCAUUUUCUUUUUACAAAUAUUACAUCAAUAUAUUCCUUUCAUAAUUUUGAACAUAUUUAAAAUAAAAAUUUUUUUCUUCUUUCUAAUUUAUUGUGGAGAUUUAUUCGAAAAUUAAAUAAAUUAAAAUUAUAUAAACUUAAUAAUAAAUUUUUUAAAUAAAACUCACAAUCUAUAUUAUAUCGAUAAAUUUUUUAUUUAAAAAUUGGCAAUGAAUCCUUAUAGAAAAGAUUUUAUCGUUAAAUUUGACAUAAAACCUUGUUUUGUCUUUUUUUAAUAAAGAUCUGAUGUAGAUAUUUUUAAUAUAUGUAAUAAUCUAUUUAAAUUAUAAUAAAUUCAAUAAUGUUAUAAUUUCUUUUAAACUUGAUAGUUGGCAUUAUACCCCAUAUAUUAGAUAAAGUUACACAGAAACUAUUAUUU